UUCCGUAGUGAACCUGCGGAAGGAUCAUUGUCGAAACCUGCCCAGCAGAACGACCCGCGAACAAGUGAAAAAAACAUACCGGCGGUGCGGGGGCGCGUCAGCCCCCCGCUCGUCGCGUCGCGGGCGGUGCGGUCGGCUUCUCGUCCGCGAGCGUCGCUCCGUCCCGGCCCGCGGCACAACAACGAACCCCGGCGCGGACCGCGCCAAGGAAAUUCUAACGAGAGAGCUCGCUCCCGCCGCCCCGGAGACGGUGCGCGCGCGGGCAGCGGCGCCUUCUUACACAAUCCAAAACGACUCUCGGCAACGGAUAUCUAGGCUCUCGCAUCGAUGAAGAACGUAGCGAAAUGCGAUACUUGGUGUGAAUUGCAGAAUCCCGUGAACCAUCGAGUCUUUGAACGCAAGUUGCGCCCCAAGCCUUUAGGCCGAGGGCACGUCUGCCUGGGUGUCACGCAUCGUCGCCCCCCCCAACCCCCCGCACCCCGGGGAGGAACGCGGGCGGGGCGGAGAAUGGCCUCCCGUGCGCCGCUCGGCUCGCGGUUGGCCCAAAUCCGAGUCCCCGGCUUCGCGCGCCGCGACUUUCGGUGGUCGAAACGAACGUCGAUGUCCCGUCGCGCCCGCGUCGUCGCAGCACGGACUCCCGGACCCUGACGCGUCGCCACGCCGCGACGCUCGCUUCGCGA
rnacentral:rRNA from 1 species